rnacentral:rRNA from 1 species
GCUUACGGCCAUACCAGCCUGGGUACGCCCGAUCUCGUCUGAUCUCGGAAGCUAAGCAGGGUUGGGCCUGGUUAGUACUUGGAUGGGAGACCGCCUGGGAAUACCAGGUGCUGUAAGGA